rnacentral:tRNA from 1 species
GAAAAACUAGUUAAAUUUUAAUAACAUGAGAUUGUCAUUCUCAAAUUACUCUUGUGUUUUUUA